AGAGCGAACGCUGGCGGCGUGCUUAACACAUGCAAGUCGAACGCGCAGCAGUUUGUAGCAAUACAGAUUGUGGGCGCGUGGCGAACGGGUGCGUAACACGUGGAUAACCUUCCUUCAGGUGGGGAAUAACCCAGUGAAAAUUGGGCUAAUACCGCAUAACAUGACGAUGGCACAUGCCGUUGUCUUCAAAGGCGCAAGUCGCCAGAAGAGGGAUCCGCGGCCGAUUAGCUAGUUGGCGAGGUAAUGGCUCACCAAGGCAAUGAUCGGUAGCCGGACUGAGAGGUUGGCCGGCCACACUGGAACUGAGACACGGUCCAGACUCCUACGGGAGGCAGCAGUGGGGAAUCUUGCACAAUGGACGAAAGUCUGAUGCAGCAACGCCGCGUGGGGAUGAAGCUUUCGGAGUGUAAACCCUUCGACCGGAAGAAGCCGCAAGGUUGACGGUACGGUAGUAAGAAGCCCGGCUAACUACGUGCCAGCAGCCG
rnacentral:rRNA from 1 species